AGCUUUGCGCAGUGGCAGUAUCGUGGCCAGUGGGGUUUAUCUGAGGCGCGAUUAUUGCUAAUUGAAAAAGUAAUGUGGGACCAGCACCUUGUGUGUUGGUUAAGGCACUGGAUUCCCACAUGGCCAAGCACAGUUUGAGUCUCAGACCUGGUGGCUUGAAAUUCAUGCCAGGCAUGUGUGC
rnacentral:snRNA from 11 species